ACACUUCCCCCCGCAGCUUGUUUAGCUUAAUUAGCAGUAGCACAAAGCAGCAAUAUAAUGGCGACGGCGGCGAGGCUGCUCCUCCUCCUCUUCCUCACGGCGGCAGCCAGCGCGUGGGAGAUGAACAUCCGGUUGCCGACGGAGAUGCUGAACGGCGGCGAGGCCGUGGUGGCGCCGAUCAUCCACGCGCUGCGGCCGCUGCUGGGCUCCGGCGGGCAGCUGGCGGCGCGCGCCGGCGUGGCGUGCGACAGCUGGAGGCUAGGCGUGGAGGCACACAACGUGAUCGGGUGGAAGACGGUGCCGGCCAGGUGCGAGGGCUACGUCGGCCACUACAUGCUCGGGUGGCCACUACCGCCGUGACUCCGCCGUCGUCAUCGACGAGGCCAUCGCCUACGCCGAGAGCCUCCAGCUCUCCGGCAACGGCAAGGAGAUCUGGGUGUUCGACAUCGACGAGACCUCCCUCUCCAACCUCCCCUACUACGCCAAGCACGGAUUCGGAGCUACACUGUACAAUGAUACGAGCUUCCGCGAAUACGUGGCGGAAGGGAGCGCGCCGGCGCUGCCGGAGACGAGGCGGUUGUACCGGCGGCUGCUCCAGCUCGGCGUCAAGCCGGUGUUCCUGACGGGCCGCACCGAGGACCAAAGGAACAUCACCGUCACAAACCUCCGCCGGCAGGGAUACUCCGGGUGGAUGGAGUUGUUGCUCAAGCCAGCAGUGCACGCCGCCGGCGAGCUCCAGGGGUCCGCCGUUGCAUACAAGUCCGGCGAGCGGCAAAAGCUGGAGGAUGCCGGUUUCACCAUCCUCGGUAACAUUGGUGACCAAUGGAGUGACAUCCUCGGUACACCGGAGGGCGCCCGCACCUUCAAGCUGCCGGACCCCAUGUACUACAUCGGCUAGGUUGCUGAGUAACAAGUCCAAUGAGGCCCAGACUCCGUGUCACGUGCGUUUCAUCUUUGUUUUGUCUUGAAAUGCUUCUAAGUUACAAUAAUUUUCGACGCGCGUCUAUCUGUACUUUUCCUUGUGAGAUUGAUGAGAUUUGUAAUAGCAUGUACGUGUAAGAGCGGUAAAUCUAUCUAGCUAUGUACUAUUGAGCAAGCUUGUCGCGUGCGUAUCUUUGUCUAAUAAUUAAGAAAAAUUGCAAGAUAUCUCACCAAAUAUCAUCCUUAGUUUAAGAUUU